rnacentral:rRNA from 1 species
GUGAAAAGGUUUUUGCUCGCAGAGGAGCUCGCGUCCGAUUAGUUAGUUGGUGGGGUAAGAGCCUACCAAGGCAGCGAUCGGUAGCUGGUCUGAGAGGAUGAUGCAACCACACUGGGACUGAGACACGGCCCAAACUCCUACGGGAGGGAGCAGUGGGGAAUUUUCCGCAAUGGGCGCAAGCCUGACGGAACAACUCCGCGUGUGGGAAGAAGGCUCUUGGGCUGUCAACCACUUUUCUCAGGGAAGAAGAUCCUGACGGUACCUGAAGAAUCAGCCUCGGCUAACUCCGUGCCAGCAGCCGCGGUAAUACGGAGGAGGCAAGCGUUAUCCGGAAUUAUUGGGCGUAAAGCCUCCGCAGGGGGUACUUCAAGUCUGCUGUCAAAGGUCGGAGCUUAACUCCGGUUCGGCAGUGGAAACUGGAGCUCUAGAGGGCGACAGGGGUAGAGGGAAUUCCCAGUGUCGCGGAGAAAUGCGUAGUGAUUGGGAAGAACAUCGCUGGCGAAAGCGCUCUUGUUGGUCGCACCUUACCCUCAGGGAAGAAAUCUAAGGUAGUGAAAGGGAUUAGAUACCCCAGUAGUGUUAGCCGUACACGAUGGAUCCUAGGCGUGGUGUGUAUCGUCCCAAGCCGUGGCGAAGCUAACGCAUUAUUGUAUCCCUGCUGGGUGAGUAUAGCACGUCAUAGUGUGAUAAUCUCAAGUGGAAUUUAUCGGGGGCUCCGUCACUAUGCGGUCGGAGGUAUGUGGUUUAUUUCUAUGUAACGCGAAGAACCUUCCCAGGGCUUGUCAUCCCGCGAAUCUUGCUGAAAGGCGAGAGUUCCUUCCGGAGCGCGGAGACAGGUGGUGCAUGGCUGUCGUCAGCUCGUGUCGUGAGAUGUUGGGGUAAGUCCCGCAACGAGCGCAACCCUCGUCCUUAGUUGCCAGCAUUAAUUUGGGCACUAUAGGGAGACCACCGGUGACAAACCGGAGGAAAGUGAGGAUGACGUCAA